UACGGGGGGGGCAAGCGUUUGUUCGGAAUUACUGGGCGUAAAGGGCUCGUAGGCGGCCAACUAAGUCAGACGUGAAAUCCCUCGGCUUAACCGGGGAACUGCCUCUGAUACUGGAUGGCUUGAGAUUGGGAGAGGGAUGCGGAAUUCCAGGUGUAGCGGUGAAAUGCGUAGAUAUCUGGAGGAACACCGGUGGCGAAGGCGGCAUCCUGGACCAACACUGACGCUGAGGAGCGAAAGCUAGGGGAGCAAACGGG
rnacentral:rRNA from 1 species